rnacentral:tRNA from 1 species
GAGGUUGUGGCUCAGAGGAACAGCACUCGCCUGGCAUGCGUGAGGCACUGGGUUCGAUCCUCAGCACCACA